rnacentral:rRNA from 1 species
CCUACGGGAGGCAGCAGUGGGGAAUAUUGCACAAUGGGGGAAACCCUGAUGCAGCGACGCCGCGUGAAGGAAGAAGUAUUUCGGUAUGUAAACUUCUAUCAGCAGGGAAGAAAAUGACGGUACGUGACUAAGAAGCUCCGGCUAACUACGUGACAGCAGCGGCGGUAAUACGUAGGGGGCAAGCGUUAUCCGGAUUUACUGGGUGUAAAGGGAGCGUAGGCGGUUUAGCAAGUCAGAAGUGAAAGUCCGGGGCUCAACUCCAGGACUGCAUUUGAAACUGUUAGACUUGAUUGCAGGAGAGGUAAGUGGAAUUCCUGGUGUAGCGGUGAAAUGCGUAGAUAUUAGGAGGAACUCCAGUGGCGAAGGCAGCUUACUGGACUGUAAAUGACGCUGAGGCUCGAAAGCGUGGGGAGCAAACAGGAUUAGAUACCCGAGUAGUC